CUCGCCCCUCGCCUCCCUCCAACUGCAGAGAGCGCCACAAGGUCCUGCUUCAAAGACUGCCCAACGCCCCCUCUUCUCUCAUGCCGAUUAUUCCUGUCACCUUCUUAACUCGUUUGUUUCCCUCCUCUUGAGCCACUGAAACGUUUACAGAGCGCUUCGUUCUAGCAGUAGCGGACAAGGGAGACAAGAGGAGGAAGAGAUGGCAGGCUGUGAUGGAGCCAAGUCAUCGGCGUCCAUGGAGGAAGAGCCAAGUACUGGAAGCGGUCAAGCAGGAGAGGUCACGAUCGGGUGGCCACCAGCCAGGCGAGCUUGGACAUUGACAUGAUGGGACCCUGCCCCAUGGCGGUUUGUACUUGCACGUGAUGGUGCCCUGACUGCGACGGAUCGAAGCCUCAGACGACGGUCGGUACAGCAAUGAGGUCAGGUGCAACGCGACGACAACAAUUAGCCAGUUAGGUAUGGGCACCUAGCGAUGACGCGGUGGCGCGACAAAAGUGCUAGUGUCUCCAUGUGGGCACAUGGGGCGGCAAGACACGACCAUGACUUGGCGGCUGGCGCUUUGGUGGCUCUGUCGUGGUGCGACUACAAUAUAGUUUAGAGAUUUUUUGCUAUGAGGUAAUAAGGUGGACUUUGUCACUUCGUUGGGUCUCAUGGCCACAUGGGCCACGAGAAUCUAUUGAGCUAGUUAGGUAUGAGAUGUAGGAAGGAGAUAUUUUGGUUCAAAUUAGCAGAAUUUCUUCA